rnacentral:rRNA from 1 species
UCCAGAGGUCUCAAGCGUUGUUCGGAUUCAUUGGGCGUAAAGGGCUCGUAGGCGGUUUGUCGCGUCGGGAGUGAAAUCCACUGGCUUAACUGGUGGCUUGCUUUCGAUACGGGCAGACUGGAGGUAUGCAGGGGAGAACGGAAUUCCUGGUGUAGCGGUGAAAUGCGCAGAUAUCAGGAGGAACACCGGUGGCGAAGGCGGUUCUCUGGGCAUGUCCUGACGCUGAGGAGCGAAAGUGUGGGGAGCGAACAGG